rnacentral:rRNA from 1 species
AUUGAACGCUGGCGGCAGGCUUAACACAUGCAAGUCGAGCGGAGAGAGGUAGCUUGCUACCGAUCUUAGCGGCGGACGGGUGAGUAAUGCUUAGGAAUCUGCCUAUUAGUGGGGGACAACAUUUCGAAAGGAAUGCUAAUACCGCAUACGUCCUACGGGAGAAAGCAGGGGAUCUUCGGACCUUGCGCUAAUAGAUGAGCCUAGGUCGGAUUAGCUGGUUGGUGGGGUAAAGGCCUACCAAGGCGACGAUCUGUAGCGGGUCUGAGAGGAUGAUCCGCAAAAGUGGAACUGGGACACGGCCCAGACUCCUGCGGGAGGCAGCAGGGGGGAAAUUUGGACAAAGGGAGCAGGGCUGAUCGAGACAUGCCGUGUGUGUGAGGAAGGCCUUAUGAUUGUAAAGCACUUUAAGCGAGGAGGAGGCUACUUUAGUUAAUACUCUAGGAGAGUGGACGUAACUAGCGGAAUAAGCACCGGCUAACUCUGUGCCAGCAGCCGCCGUAACAC